rnacentral:rRNA from 1 species
GGGCCCGCACAAGCAGUGGAGUAUGUGGUUUAAUUCGAAGCAACGCGAAGAACCUUACCAGGGCUUGACAUGGAGACGACCGCGCCAGAGAUGGCGUUUCCCUUCGGGGCGUCUCACACAGGUGGUGCAUGGUUGUCGUCAGCUCGUGUCGUGAGAUGUUGGGUUAAGUCCCGCAACGAGCGCAACCCUUAUUGUUAGUUGAUACAUUCAGUUGAUCACUCUAGCGAGACUGCCGUUGACAAAACGGAGGAAGGUGGGGACGACGUCAAAUCAUCAUGCCCCUUAUGUCCUGGGCUACGACACGUACUACAAUGGCGGUCAACAGAGGGAAGCAAUACAGCAAUGUGGAGCAAAUCCCUAAAAGCCGUCCCAGUUCGGAUUGCAGGCUGCAACCGCCUGUAUGAAGUCGGAAUUGCUAGUAAUCGCGGAUCAGCAUGCCG